ACGGGUGAGUAACGCGUGGGAAUCUACCCUUUAGUUGGGGACAACAUAUGGAAACGUAUGCUAAUACCGAAUAUGCUCUACGGAGUAAAGGUGCCCUCUCCUUGGAAGGUAUCGCUAAAGGAUGAGCCCGCGUUAGAUUAGCUAGUUGGUAAGGUAAAGGCUUACCAAGGCGACGAUCUAUAGCUGGUUUGAGAGGAUGAUCAGCCACACUGGGACUGAGACACGGCCCAGACUCCUACGGGAGGCAGCAGUGGGGAAUAUUGCACAAUGAGGGAAACCUUGAUGCAGCCAUGCCGCGUGUGUGAAGAAGGCCCGAGGGUUGUAAAGCACUUUCAAUUGUGAGGAAGAUUAAGUAGCUAAUACCUGCUUAGUUUGACGUUAACUUUAGAAGAAGCACCGGCUAACUCUGUGCCAGCAGCCGCGGUAAUACAGAGGGUGCAAGCGUUAUUCGGAAUUACUGGGCGUAAAGCGCGCGUAGGCGGACUGUUAAGUCGGUUGUGAAAGCCCUGGGCUCAACCUAGGAACUGCAUCCGAUACUGGCAAUCUAGAGUUUAAGAGAGGGAAGUGGAAUUCCAGGUGUAGCAGUGAAAUGCGUAGAUAUCUGGAGGAACAUCAGUGGCGAAGGCGACUUCCUGGCUUAAAACUGACGCUGAGGUGCGAAAGCUUGGGUAGCGAACGGGAUUAGAUACCCCGGUAGUCCAAGC
rnacentral:rRNA from 1 species